rnacentral:rRNA from 1 species
UUGAACGCUGGCGGCAUGCCUUACACAUGCAAGUCGAACGGCAGCACGGGUGCUUGCACCUGGUGGCGAGUGGCGAACGGGUGAGUAAUACAUCGGAACAUGUCCUGUAGUGGGGGAUAGCCCGGCGAAAGCCGGAUUAAUACCGCAUACGAUCUACGGAUGAAAGCGGGGGACCUUCGGGCCUCGCGCUAUAGGGUUGGCCGAUGGCUGAUUAGCUAGUUGGUGGGGUAAAGGCCUACCAAGGCGACGAUCAGUAGCUGGUCUGAGAGGACGACCAGCCACACUGGGACUGAGACACAGCCCAGACUCCUACGGGAGGCAGCAGUGGGGAAUUUUGGACAAUGGGCGAAAGCCUGAUCCAGCAAUGCCGCGUGUGUGAAGAAGGCCUUCGGGUUGUAAAGCACUUUUGUCCGGAAAGAAAUCCUUGGCUCUAAUACAGUCGGGGGAUGACGGUACCGGAAGAAUAAGCACCGGCUAACUACGUGCCAGCAGCCGCGGUAAUACGUAGGGUGCGAGCGUUAAUCGGAAUUACUGGGCGUAAAGCGUGCGCAGGCGGUUUGCUAAGACCGAUGUGAAAUCCCCGGGCUCAACCUGGGAACUGCAUUGGUGACUGGCAGGCUAGAGUAUGGCAGAGGGGGGUAGAAUUCCACGUGUAGCAGUGAAAUGCGUAGAGAUGUGGAGGAAUACCGAUGGCGAAGGCAGCCCCCUGGGCCAAUACUGACGCUCAUGCACGAAAGCGUGGGGAGCAAACAGGAUUAGAUACCCUGGUAGUCCACGCCCUAAACGAUGUCAACUAGUUGUUGGGGAUUCAUUUCCUUAGUAACGUAGCUAACGCGUGAAGUUGACCGCCUGGGGAGUACGGUCGCAAGAUUAAAACUCAAAGGAAUUGACGGGGACCCGCACAAGCGGUGGAUGAUGUGGAUUAAUUCGAUGCAACGCGAAAAACCUUACCUACCCUUGACAUGGUCGGAAUCCUGCUGAGAGGCGGGAGUGCUCGAAAGAGAACCGGCGCACAGGUGCUGCAUGGCUGUCGUCAGCUCGUGUCGUGAGAUGUUGGGUUAAGUCCCGCAACGAGCGCAACCCUUGUCCUUAGUUGCUACGCAAGAGCACUCUAAGGAGACUGCCGGUGACAAACCGGAGGAAGGUGGGGAUGACGUCAAGUCCUCAUGGCCCUUAUGGGUAGGGCUUCACACGUCAUACAAUGGUCGGAACAGAGGGUUGCCAACCCGCGAGGGGGAGCUAAUCCCAGAAAACCGAUCGUAGUCCGGAUUGCACUCUGCAACUCGAGUGCAUGAAGCUGGAAUCGCUAGUAAUCGCGGAUCAGCAUGCCGCGGUGAAUACGUUCCCGGGUCUUGUACACACCGCCCGUCAAG